UGUGGGAUGGAGCAUCUCGGUAGCUCGUCGGGCGCAUAUCCCGAAGGUCGUCGGUUCGAAUCCGACUCCCGCAACCA
rnacentral:tRNA from 1 species